rnacentral:rRNA from 1 species
GACGAACGCUGGCGGCGUGCUUAACACAUGCAAGUCGAACGGAAAGGCCCUGCUUUUGUGGGGUGCUCGAGUGGCGAACGGGUGAGUAACACGUGAGUAACCUGCCCUUCACUUUGGGAUAACUUAAGGAAACUGGGGCUAAUACCGGAUAGGAGCUCCUGCUGCAUGGUGGGGGUUGGAAAGUUUCGGCGGUUGGGGAUGGACUCGCGGCUUAUCAGCUUGUUGGUGGGGUAGUGGCUUACCAAGGCUUUGACGGGUAGCCGGCCUGGGAGGGUGACCGGCCACAUUAGGACUGAGAUACGGCCCAGACUCCUACGGGAGGCAGCAGUGGGGAAUAUUACACAGUGGGCGGAAGCCUGAUGCAGCAACGCCGCGUGCGGGAUGACGGCCUUCGGGUUGUGAACCGCUUUCGCCUGUGACGAAGCGUGAGUGACGGUAAUGAGUAAAGAAGCACCGGCUAACUACGUG